rnacentral:rRNA from 1 species
ACAGACGUUCAUGCACGAAAGCGUGGGUAGCAAACAGGAUUAGAUACCCUGGUAGUCCACGCCCUAAACGAUGUCAACUAGGUGUUGGGUGGGUAAAACCAUUUAGUACCGUAGCUAACGCGUGAAGUUGACCGCCUGGGGAGUACGGCCGCAAGGUUAAAACUCAAAGGAAUUGACGGGGACCCGCACAAGCGGUGGAUGAUGUGGAUUAAUUCGAUGCAACGCGAAAAACCUUACCUACCCUUGACAUGUCCAGAAGCCCGAAGAGAUUUGGGUGUGCCCGAAAGGGAGCUGGAACACAGGUGCUGCAUGGCUGUCGUCAGCUCGUGUCGUGAGAUGUUGGGUUAAGUCCCGCAACGAGCGCAACCCUUGUCGUUAAUUGCCAUCAUUUAGUUGGGCACUUUAACGAGACUGCCGGUGACAAACCGGAGGAAGGUGGGGAUGACGUCAAGUCCUCAUGGCCCUUAUGGGUAGGGCUUCACACGUCAUACAAUGGUCGGUACAGAGGGUUGCCAAGCCGCGAGGUGGAGCCAAUCCCAGAAAGCCGAUCGUAGUCCGGAUUGCAGGCUGCAACUCGCCUGCAUGAAGUCGGAAUCGUUAGUAAUCGCGGAUCAGCAUGUCGCGGUGAAUACGUUCCCGGGUCUAGUACACACCGCCCGUCACACCAUGGGAGCGGGUUCCGCCAGAAGUAGGUAGC